GGGGCGACGGGUGUCCAGUGAUUCAGCCACGUGUGAUAGAUGACCAAGGGACUACUUCCUUGGGGUCUGCACAUCAGUGGAAGAUACCCAAACUGGUUUUGGCUGCCUUGAUCAAACUCUGGCCCCCUGAACUGGAAUGAAAUGCAGAUAACUCUUUAGAAAACUUUCGUAGGAAAAAAGCAAAGCGCCUCGUGUGAUCUGGAACAAAGACAUUUUCUAAUCAGAUUUAUCAAGCUGUGAAGAGGGAGUUUUAGCGAACGGAAGCAGCAGCAUUCUGUCACCAGGAAAUACUGCUUUAUCCAGAAUUGGGAAGUAGACAACAUCAAGAAACUUCUUGCUCCUCAAGUGCCAUCUAGUAUGAGUAAUUCUCAAAUACACCAGAGAUUACAAAAUAGCUAGGAUUUGCAAUCACACCGUUUAAAAGUUUUCUCCUUCAUGUUAUUGGAAGUUGUGUCAGCGGAAAUAAAGAAAUGCAAUCAUAAACUCUCUUCAGGAACCUCUAGACCUGCAAACAUAAUCCUGAGAGGAGAUAGUGUUGUCACUUAUUCCAGAAUAAUUGGAAGGUCCUUGAGAAGGUAGAAGUUGAUCUUCAGAGAGCUUAGAAAUUUUUGGGCUUGCACAUAAUUGAAAUUCAAUAGAACAAAAGAAGAAAGUACUGUUUAAGAUGAGAGACCUUUCAAAGAGUGAAAGAUGCCAGUUGAAAUGGAGUGUCUGUGACAAAAAUCUUCAGUCAUGUGGCUAAAACUUCCAAAACUAUGUUGAAUAAUAGUGGUGAGAAUGGACAACCUUGUCUUGUUCCUGAUCUUAGUGGAAAUGGUUUCAUUUAUCACCAUUGAGGACGAUGUUGGCUGUGGGUUUGUCAUAU